rnacentral:siRNA from 1 species
AGAGACUUGAAGCCUUCCAUACUU